rnacentral:rRNA from 1 species
UGCGGGUGCCUACCUGCAAAUCGAACGAGAAAGAUCCCCGCAAGGGGAUUGAGUACAGUGGCGAACGGGUGAGUAACACGUGACUAACCUACCUUCCAGUGGGGGAUAACCUCGGGAAACCGGGGCUAAGACCGCAUAAUCUCGCGAGGUGAAAUUCCUUGUGAGCAAAGGGGUAAGACGCUGGUAGAGGGGGUCGCGUCCGAUUAGCUAGUUGGCGGGGUAACGGCCCACCAAGGCGAUGAUCGGUAGCCGGCCUGAGAGGGCGCACGGCCACACUGGAACUGAAACACGGUCCAGACUCCUACGGGAGGCAGCAGUGGGGAAUUUUGCACAAUGGGGGAAACCCUGAUGCAGCAACGCCGCGUGGAGGAUGAAGUCCCUUGGGACGUAAACUCCUUUCGACCGGGACGAUAAUGACGGUACCGGUGGAAGAAGCCCCGGCUAACUCCGUGCCAGCAGCCGCGGUAAUACGGGGGGGGCAAGCGUUGUUCGGAAUCAUUGGGCGUAAAGGGCGCGUAGGCGGUGCGGUAAGUCUUCUGUGAAACCUCUGGGCUCAACCCAGAGCCUGCAGGGGAAACUGCCGUGCUGGAGUAUGGGAGAGGUGCGUGGAAUUCCCGGUGUAGCGGUGAAAUGCGUAGAGAUCGGGAGGAACACCUGCGGCGAAGGCGGCGCACUGGACCAUUACUGACGCUGAGAGCGCGAAAGCUAGGGGAGCAAACAGGAUUAGAUACCCUGGUAGUCCUAGCCUUAAACGAUGAAUGCUUGGUGUGACGG